GACGAACGCUGGCGGCGUGCUUAACACAUGCAAGUGGAGCGACGAACCAAGGGCUUGCCCUGGGGCAGAGCCGCGAACGGGUGAGUAACACGUGGGUAACGUGCCCCGAUGAUCGGGGACAACCCGGGGGAAACCCGGCUAAUACCGAAUGUCGCCCCCCUCACACCAGUGAGGGAUGGAAAGGAAGCUUCGGCCUCCGCAUCGGGAUCGGCCCGCGGCCCAUUAGCUUGUUGGUGAGGUAACGCUCACCAAGGCUGCGAUGGGUAGCUGGUCUGAGAGGACGAUCAGCCACAC
rnacentral:rRNA from 1 species